ensembl:lncRNA
UUUUGAUCCAAAAUUUUACUGUUAAAAAUUUAUCUAAAGAAAUAAUUAAAAAAUGCUGAUAAAAUUUGCCCACAAGGAUGUUUAUCAUAAGAUAGUUCUAAUUUACAAAAACAAGAAACAUCCUAAAUAUCUAACUACAAGACAGUGGUCUUCACCGUUUCUCACCCGGAUUCCUGCGAUAGGUCUCUCCGUCCAGCCCACACCCCGUCUGAUCUCUGCCCCACGUCCUGCCAUAAAACAAAAGCUUGAACAAAUCACUCUCCAACUUUAAAUACUUUAGACCCUUUGAGUCAUGUACAUCCUCAGAAUCUGGCCCCUGACACUUCUUUAACACUUUCUCCCAAAACUCCCCAGGAACAUGCUGCAUUCCAGCCAUUUCAAACUAUUUAGUUCCUCAAGUGGCCCUUUCUUCCGUCCUCUCCUUGCUUUUGUUGUGCUGUUUCUACCGCGCAGAAAUCUCUUCUGCACUCCCCUGUUCACCUGAUACCCUUUGUCCCAUCAAGACUCGCCAAGGGAAAUCAGUCUGAGCUGCAGGUCCCCACUCUGUGCUCACAAGGUGCUUCUCUGUUCCAUGUUAGCACCCGUCUCGCCAUGGCAGCCUCCCCUUCGCCACACUCAGAGUUCUGGAGGAAGGCACUAAGUCUUUCACCGCGGGCAUUAGCUGUAUCUGUCUGCCCGGAGCCAUCCUUUCCGUCAGGGAAGUACCACCCCUUCAUCCCUGUGGUUCACACGGUGCCCUGUCUGCCUGCUGCUACAGGCUUGGGCAUGGGACCCAGGCAAGUCCUGGUGCCAUAUCCUCUUGACAGCAAUGACCAAUCAGAGCCCGGGCAUGGGAUUUGCCACAGUCUUGCCAUGGUGUUAAUACCCGGAUCCUGGAAAGAGAAGGUCCCUCAUAUUCUUUAGGAUUGAAUGGGAGACGACCCAAACCACCAACAGUCAUUUUUCCCAUCUCAUGUAGGGAGCAUGUCCAUGGAAUUGAGUCAAACUAACCCUAGAGAGGGAUACAUGGUCAUGAAUAUGGAAAUAGAGCCAAAUAACAGAAGUUAGCCCCUGGAUCUAGCAUAUAAAAAGCAAGCACAUUCUGCAUUUCCCAGUUACACAAGCCAGUAAACUCCCAUUUGGGGUUAAAGUAUUUGGGUUACAUUCUGAUACUUGCAACCAAGAAUCCUGACUAAAACUUAUUUGGAAUUUGUGUCCCCCCUGAAUCACAGUAACUGGCAUGUCGGAUUCAACAAAAACAUGUUAUGUGGAUGAACAAAUAACUCAGCAAAGGGUUACGAGGUGCCCUGUGUAAAGGGGGUCUCUUCUGCCCUCAGAACUGCUCAGUGUCUGCUGUUCAUCAACGGAGCACUCACGUCUUGCAUCUUGAUGUAGAGGCCACACCACCUGUGUCUACGUGGGGUUCCUCUUUAAACAAUAUUUUCCUAGUCAGCAAGCGCCUGAAAUGUCUAUUCAUCUGUAAACACUUGGAAAGACUCCAGGUCGUGUUCUUAUUUUGCUAGUUUAAGUGUUAAAUGAGCCUAAAGUUAGGAAAGCUCUCAUCAGCAAAGCCAUCACUCCUGGUCCAAUUCACCAAAGAUUUAGGAGCUCUCGUCCCACACUGGGCUGGGCAGAAGGAGCCUUGACUGACUGCGCUUGAGCCUGUGGUGGCGGGUGAAGGAGUCUGAGAAGCGGUUUUCCUCCCUUCAGGUCUUGUCUGGGUGAGUCCAAGAGUGUGGAGCUACUGAGAACUCUGCCUCAAGUGGAAGGAUGUAGGGCUUCCAACCUAUUAGUAGAUUCGUCCCCUUGCUUGGUUUUUGGAGAAUAAAAGCAGCGAAUGUGGAACACCCUUUCUGUCCUGCCAUACCCUGGGUGCUGGGAUACAACGACAAGAGAAGAACAAGCAUCAGAACAUGUGUGUGCAACCAAAGACCAUCGCAGCCCCAGACCAUCUGCGCAAGAAGAGCCUGGGCAAGUGCUGGUUGAAGAGGGACGUCUUGAAGGCACGUUUGCACAAAUCACUCUUAAUUGGAUGGUAGGUUUAUUUAGGAUGGUGCAUGUGUAGGGGAGUGAGGGUGAGAUGCUAUGGGACAGUUUCGGGCCCACCCAAAUGACUUGACACAAAGGCUGCCCAAAGAAAAGGAAGAGGGACCCUGGAAAUCCUCUUACUCUCCCUCAGAAGGUUCCCUCAGAAUCAGCACUGGCUCAGGCAUCUGCCCCACCUCCACCCUUCUGCCACCCCCUGGGAAGGUUCAGUGCCAUCCGCAGCGUGAGAGCUGACCUCCCCUGCUCUCCACGUUCCCUGACACACAAAUGCCCGUGCCUGGGAGCUCUAAACCUACAACCCAGCAAAGACAGACAUGAGGGCAGGUUGCAUUCUGCCCUCAUUAUCCAUUUUGGGUCUUUUUGUGUCACCUGAUGUGGGCUCGGCGAGCUGAGGAGUCGAAGGAAAGAUUUCUUGGACUCUCAAGUUCUGGUUAGUAGUGCUCUUUUAUUCAGAAAAUAGUAUGGGGACAGGACCCCUGGGCAGUGAAGAGCUGCAGCAUGGGGACAGGACCCGUGGGCAGGAAGAGCUGCAGGCAUGGGGAGAGGACCCACGGGCAGUGAGGGGCUGCAAUGGGUUGAGGGCAGGGCUAAAUUUAUAAGGCAUGGGUCUAUGAGUUAUUUCUUUACAAGACAAAGGCAAGAUCAUGUUAAAAAGUCCUUAAAAUUGUAUCAGCACAGCUGGGGUCUGGUUAUCAGGUGGUCCUAUAACUUUAGAUAAGAAUCAGAUUGGAUCAGGUCAGGACAUCCUAUAUGUCCCAGAGGAUGAUCAAUAUGUAGGCCAAGAUGCUUUGGGCUUCUCUCCCUUGGGCAGCCUUGAUCCACAUCAUCACCUAGUUCAAAAUUUUGUGUAACCUAUGAAUAUGUUUGUAUCACAUUCACUCCUAAGGUUAGACAUUUCUACAGUGGAUGUAACCUCAUUAUUGUGUUAUUUUUCCCAACCAAAGCUAACUUUCUUGUCAGGCUUACAAAGAGCCACAUCAGCCAUGCUAGAGUUAAGUCAGGAGAUCUGCAGACUGGCAGAACAGGGGACUCUGGAAGAACCAGGCGUGAGCAGAGCAGUGUGGAGUCCUGACUGGUCAUUAAUCCAGCUUUGGUCAAGAGAGAACACUGCUCCCAGAGGGUUGUGGAACAGCGCGCGUAUGUCACACCAUGCAGGUAGCAGUUUAUCUGUCCUAAGUAAACAUCUGACAACAAGCAGUUUGAAGUAUUUGAAAAUGAGAUUCUCCAAAAUAAGUCCUUCAUUUGAAUAAGCUGAAACGACACCCACAUCUAGCCACCGGUUUUACACAAACCGCUCCUGAACAGCUGAUGCGGGCAUGUGCACACCUGUGAUCCUGCGCCCUGAUCUCUCACAUCGCCAGGGUUCUCACGUGUGUUAGAUGUUUGAGUGUUCAAGGUCCUGGCAGGACUCUCUGUAGAGUAGAGCUGCUCUUGCUUCUGUUUGGGGCAACACUGAUCCCUAUAAUCUUGACUCCUCCCUUCCCACCUCCUCCAGACCUUGUAUGAUCAAUUGCCCCUGGUGUCCUAAAUCCUCAACCAACCUCUUCUUCUCUUCCCUCCCCCUCAGUCCAUAACAAUGCCUAAAUAGAAACUAUCCCCUUCCUCUGAAUUCUCCCACCGCUUACCAUCUCAUCCCUCUCCUCUUCAUAUACAACUUAUUUGAAAGAGUAUACUAUUUUUGCUAUUUAUAUAGCCUCAUUUCCAUUAAAUCUUCACCUCACUACAGUUUAUCUCCCAUCUUGCAUGAAGCAACAGAAACUGACUAACAUAAGCAAAAAACAAAAAAGUAUUUAGUUUUUCGACGUAUGGCAGAGAUCCAUCCUCACCUCCUUGGAGAGCCUAGAAAGUUAAAAACAACAUCUCCCAGACUCUCUUGCAGCUAUGGUCUGUAUGCAAACCAGGUUCUGCCAAUCAAUACAGUCAUAAAAGUGUUGGAAGACAAAUAUGGACAGAGGUAUCGUCCUGUUGCUGCUUCUGCUAACAAGUAAGCUCAUGAACACAUGAAUGUCAAAAAGCAGGUGAGGGACAAUGAUGGCCAGACUCAGUGCUAGUCAAUACCUUAUGGGUGUCCAGAAAGUUUCAAUGGUGACAGAGGGGGUGGCUUCCUGAUCCCCACCCCUGAUCUCUGAACAGCAUCUAUGAUGAUGAGCUCUGAACUUCACAGUGUCAGUGGUUGUCUCCUGAUUUGUGCUACUCUAGCAUUUCCAACCAUUUUUACAGCACCCAUUUCCUAUAUAAAAUCCUUCAGGUUUAAAAUACCUAGGGUGUUUUCUCUCUCCUUUACUGAGCCCUGACCCAUAGAGUUUGUGAAACUGCAAGUGAUCUUAGACAACAGACUCUCAACAAUAAGGACUUGGGGGUGGUUACCUGAUUCGGUUGGAUUUGAAAGCAGAGGUGACUCAGUUCCCACUGAAAAAUGAGAGCUGACAGUCUGUGGCUCAGUUGCAAAUACAGUUACUUAAAUUAUCACAUUUUUCAAGGACUUAAAUUAAAUGCCUACCGGAGGCAAGCCUCCUGGUGGGUGAGUAUUGUAGGAAUGGGGCAGACAAGGACGGUGGGGCAGGCUGAAUGCUUCUGAAGCCCUGAAAAGCUUUUCUUCAAGCUAUAAACUCAGGUCUUUACAUUUCUUUAAAUUCUAAACUCUAGGCAAAAUUAAAGGAUUGGGGAGUUUCUAUAACUGCCAUCAAUCUCUAAUCUCUUAAAACCAAUGGGAUGACAUGUCCAAAAGCUAGAUGCCAAGGCUGACCAUGUGAUUUUUGAGUUAGAAAUUAAAUUGAAUUCACAGCCUCCCCAGGUCUUUCAUGGUCAAGAUAGACCUUGAUUAGAAAAGAAUGCAACCCUGAGAACUGAGAUGAGAACGUUUGGGUAAACUCAGAUGAGUACGAGUCCGUGGAGUCUGCAAGAUCCACUAGGCUCACUUGCCAGAAGCAGUAGUCCUCUCCCAUCUGAUAAAGCUGGCUCUGCCUUGGGUGGACGCCUUGCAAGGGCCUUCCCUGAGGUAUCCACCUUCAAGAGGAUGCCCUGAGCCUCAUGUUCCACCAUAGCAGUUUUCAUUGUCUGUAGACCGAAUUAAAAAAGUCAAAUUCCAUUAUGUCUCAGGGAGACAAGCAAAGAGAGUUUACUAUUUAAAGAUUUGUAACUCCCUGCUUAUUGCUAUCUGUAGGAGCCCAGGGAGUAUGUGUGAUAAUGGAUUCAGGUGGGGGAAGGGCUAGACCAAUGAGAAGUAAGUAUCAACAUGUGUGCAUUGACCAGCUGCCCUGGUGGUCUAGUGGUUAAGAUUUGGCACUCUCACUGCCACAGCCCAGGUCCCUGUCCCCAUCGUGGAACCACACUGUCAGUUGUCACACUGAGGCAGCUGCGUGUUGCUGCGAUGCUGAAAGCUCUGCCACUGGUAUUUCAAAUACCAGCAGGGUCACCCAUGGUAGACAGGUUUCAGCGGAGCUUCCAGACUAAGAGAGACUAGGAAGGAGGACCUAGUCACUCGCUUCUGGAAAAAUUGGCCACAAAAACUCUAUGAAUAGCAGCAGAACAUUGUUCUAAUACAGCACCAGAGGGUGAGAGGAUGGCUCAGAAAGAUGGGUAGGGUUCUGCUCUGCUGUCCACAGGGUCACUGACUGCAUGGCAUUUACUAGAGCUUUUUAAUUCAGUGAUCUAAUUCAAGAGAAGCCUUCUGCUUGCCAAUUGAUAACUGAAAACUACACCUACUCCAAGCGAGAUUGAAAUGAAGAGAUUCCUUGAUAUAAUACAGAGGGGAAAAAACAGAGACUCGGGAGAUAAUAAUGUUGAAAUGGGAUUAUUAUGUAUAGCCUGUUCAUUCACCAUCUGUGUUUGCCAAGAGGCCUCAAGAAUGCUCCCUUCACUAAGACACAAAGACAUACAUCUGAGGCCGAAGCACCAUUAUCCUCUAAAACACUGUCGCUUCUGCCCUGUGUAGGAGAUGCUGCUAGUGAAAUGGGCUUUCUGAGUUCAGUGAUGACAGGAAUCUGGAGCGGCAGAGGCCACACAGUCGCAAUCCCUGGUUACCACAUGAGCAGCAGGAAUACAGUGAUAAUCAGAAUGGUGUGACCUGUAAGAAUGAGAUUAUUUAUCACGGGAUUCCUAGGAGUGAAGCAGAUGGGCAGCCGAAAAGUAAAGAAGAAAAAAAUCUGGAGAAUGAGGGGCUGAUUUGAGUUGCCUCAGCGGAAAGUCAGAUUCCCAGAAACUUUGCAUGUGAGCCCACUGAACAAAGAAGCCAGGUACCCAGGAGGAGGGCCCCGUGGCACUGUCCCAAGUGUGAACUGUAAGCUUCCUCUUUGUCUCCUUAAGGAAACUAAGGCCAUUUGCCAAAGUAAUGUGCACUGAGAAAACUUUACCCAGACUUUUGGGAUAUCCCUGGACACUGGUUCUUAGCUAGUAUUAAUCCUUAGGGACACAAAAGAUAUCUGAGAUCCACUACUACGAGUAAGAACUUAGGAGGAUUGAGUGACACAUGCUGUUUGGCCGGAACCCAUCUUGCAAAUAGGCCAAGAAAGUCCAUGAACCCAUUCUGUGGUUAUUUUCCCUUUCCAGAAGACAAAGUUGUAAUGACACUUGGCAAGCGGUGGGUUACUUUAUCAUGAAAGGAAGAGACAAGUGAAGUGAAGCAAACAGUGAAUCAAAAACAAUAUCACGCACGUCCCUGAGGGAAUUGCAUAUUAAUAUCACCAUCAAAGACUUGAGAGGGGACGAUAGUGGCAGCAUAAUUUUGGGUCUCAUCAAAUCCCCACACGAAAAUACACAUAAAAACUGACUUAAGAACAAAUAUGACCAAUAUUUCCAACAGAACUAGAUGGUAAGUUAUCCCCACAAACCCCGUAAUACCAGUGAGCGGGGAAGAACCCCAGCAGGAACGAGAGCUGCACGUCAUCUGUGUCUGUGCUGGAGAAAUCAGGGAAGACAGCAACGCAACUGCUGAACUGAAAAUCCCUCCAGAAGGCAACACACCCUGACCAACAGUGCAGCAGGCCAUCGGAGAAAACAGCGGAAACUCCACAAGUGCGUGAGUGUCGGGGCGAGGGGUAAGGCCUAACGGGCUGGAGCCGUCCAACCCCGCUGAACUCUUAAGACAGACCCGGCCAGGCUCCCUCCCAUGGCAGAACCCCACAGGAGAAACUGUGGGGAUAGAAAUAAACUUGAGCAGGACAGGAGCCACAGAGCAAAUGGAAAAGAAGUUCUCGAUCAAAGUGUGGGAGGGCCUAGAGCCAGAAAUCAGAAAACAAGCCGCCGUGUCCCUUAACAUUAUAUGAAAAUGACACAAGAGGCAGCUCUGAAAAGUUAGGAAAUCUGUCUGAAAUAAGCUCCUUUUAAAAGUUCAAGAAAACCAAAUUCACAUUAAAAUGAGCAGCAAACACAAAGUGUCAAGAUCAAAUCCCACAAAAGUUUACUAUUUAAAAAACAGGAAAAGGAGCAGUGGCAUCUCUCUACAGACAAUGAAGCAUGCCAGAAGGACACUCAGAGACAGACCAGACUGUAACACACUGUCUCAAAUGAUCUGGAGGAUAAUAUGAUAGACAGAAAAAUAGCAUAAAUCAGGAUGGGGAAAACUCAGGAGUGAGGUGACAGAACUCAAGGAAGAAUUACCAAUACAAGGAAAAAAAUUUUCUUAAUGAAGAUUACUAUAGGAGAAAGAUAGCAAAUAAAUACAAGUAAUGCCUUAAAAAUGAGGGUAAAAAUAAGGAAAAAAAUUUAAUUCAAAAAGAAAUGAGAAACAAUAAAAAAGUGACAAAUAUUGAAGAUAGGCAAAGAAAAUCCAGCGUAUAGAUAAUAGCAGUCUCUGAAGAAACCCAAAGCAGAUGGACAGACCAAAUACUAAAAUCUUUCCAGAAACAAAAAAAUAAAAGUAUUCAAAAUUACGUAUUGAAAGAGCAUAUUGUGUGUCUGAGAAAAGAUAUCUAAACUGGUUCUGCCAUUUGCAAAGUUAUUGUCUCUCUUUGAUGAUAAAUUAUCUCUGUUCUCAUUAUUGUCUCCUGACUGGACACUGAUACAGGAAUUGGUACCAAGUGGUCCCAGGAAACCUCAGAGACCUCAAAGACUGGAUUUGAGAACUGACUUGGUCAUGUCCUUGGUCUAGAGCAAAGAGUUGAACUCUCUGCCAGUGGACAAUGGGAAGCUAGGUAGUCCAUGGCAUGCAGUGGCAUUCACGAUUAAUGAAAUUAUCAUCUGGGGUUGAUUACGAUGAAGCAUCUACAGACGCACCAAGACAUAUCCUAGUAAGAUUACUGAGGUUUAAGAGAAAAAAAAAAAACUUUCAGGCAUCUAUGCAAAAAGCACCCAUGACUUAUAAGGAAAAAAUUACGUUAUCAUCAGAUUUUUCAACAACAGCAUUUCUUAUGCUAGAAGAAAAUGGAGUAACAUACCUAAGAAGCUCAAAGGAAGAAAAUGUGAACCAAGAAUUUUAUAUACAACAAAACUGACCUACAAGUAUACAAGGUGCAGACAAACUGUUAUCAACACGCGGGAACUCAAGCAAUACUGUUCCCAUGAGCCCUUCCGAAGAAAUCGACUAGAGCUGCGCUGACCAGUAUGGUAGCCACUAGCCAUAUGUGGUUGUUUAAAUUUUAAUUUUAAUGAAUUAAAUGAAGUAAAAUUAAAAAUUCAGUUCUUCAAUCAAACUAGCUACAUCUGACAUGCUCAAGAACUCAAUGUGCUAGUGGCUAUCACAUCGGAUAGUACAAAUAUAGAAUACUUUCUAUCAUCAUAGAAGAUUUUGUGGGAUAGCAUUGUCUUAGCCAAUGAGCUUCAGACAAUCCCAAUGACUGGAAAUCUCUGACAUAAAGACUGGGGAUGGGUAUUAAAUAUAUACUUAAUUGAAUAACUGAGGACAAAUGAGGACUAAAACGAAGAGAUUGUAGCAACAGCUGCAUAAUUUGACAAUCAAGAUAGAGUAAAACCAUUAAAAAUGGGGGAGAUGGAAAUAGCAUAUGUAAAAGAAAGGUAUUUUUAAAUUAUAUUUUCAGUAGUCAUAACUGAUGGUGUAGCAUUAGGAUUGCUAUUCUGAGGCUAUCGUAUGUGUAUGUGGGACAAAGCAAAUGAGUAACUAUGUAAUAUUCCGACUCCAUCACGUCUUGAGAGCCAGGAAUCUCAGUGUGGAAGAAAGGAGAUCCGGAUGUGUUACAGAGGAGGUUAAGUAAAAAAGCCUAUAGCCUGAAUUUAAAUUGGAAAUAUCUGUUUGAACUAGAAUCCAUGACAGACCCAGUAGGACCGAGCAUCCCUGGAGCCCAGAUUGUGGUUUGGAAUGCUGUUUCUCAUGAAAAGAAACCAGGGAUUUGGGGAGAAAUGGCUGGUUCCAGGUCUGGGGCAGGAUACGUACAAGAUGCGCCUGGAACAUCUUGACACACCGGGUAGCAAGGAAGCCAUCAAAGGUCACUGGUGUCACGUCAAAAAGAUUCAGGAGCCAACCUGGAGAGGGUCCUAUGAGCCAAAGAUGGGACAAUUUCAGCUUCUACCAAAACUGUAAUAAAUGGGAACUCGUCAAAUAUGUUUAAACCCAUAAGUUUAUAACAAUAUUAAAAGAAAAGGCAACCAAUUGGUCACUUUCUGAGGACCCAAUCCACUUCCUCGAGAACUAACUGAACUACAGAAUCAAGCAUUUGUCUUGCCUAUUCUAUAGGAACUGGCUAACCAUAACAGACAAGGGGAAGUGCCCCUUUAUAAAGUUACCCCAGCUAAUAUGGAAACAAAAUGAUGGCAUAUCACCAUGUGAAACCUCCAGUAAGUAAACGUGUCUAGACCUCGAACAUCACCAGCUGUUAAAAUCACAGAAAGAGUGGAAAUCAGACGGAUCGUGUCUUCUAAUGAAAGAACACAACGUCACCUAUAGUAUCGUCAAAGGAGCUGACCCUGAGUCCAAUCAGGCCUCUGGAUCCAGCUUCCAAUCCUCAAGGAACACAAGGGAAAGGGGCACCUUGAAACGCUCCGUGAGUAUGCAACCAAAAAAAUCCAGACUUCAGGAAACUCGACAGUUCAAACAGGCUGAGAUAAAUUAUAAGGAUAAAAGGGGGCAUGGGAAGCUUAGAUUAAAAGCAACUGGAAAACAUACACUUUAAAACGGGCCUGAUUAAACCGGAAUAUUUAAGGAUGCACACUUGGGUGAAAAAAGCAUAAAAAGUCAAGGCAGUGAUCACUAUAUAGCAGUCAGGAUAGCUGUUACUUUCGAAGGAGGAGAGGGUUGUGAUUGGCACAAGGCACAUGUAGAGGCUUCUGGGGCGACUGGCAAAGUUCUAUUUCUUGAGUCGUGUGUUGGUCAAGGAUGUUUACCUUAAAGUAAUUCACCAAGCUGUUAAAAAAAUAAAGUUUGAAAGAUGCUGGGGCGGUGAUUUCUAUCAUAGCCCCAUUUAAUUCAUCACUAUGGCCAUUGCAGAAGACAUAUGGGUUUUGGAGAAUGACAAUGGGUUCCCUUAAACUUAGUCACAGGCCAACACUUCAAUUGCAAUUGCUUUUUUUAAAUAUGUUCUCUUUACUCCAGCAAAUCAACAGAGACCCCAGCACGUGGUAUGCUGUUAUCCAUCUGAUAAAUGUUUUGUUCUCUCUCCCGAUAAGCAGAUAAUACCAGAAGAUUUUGCUUUCAUCUGGUGGGAAAGCAGCUCACCUGUGCUGUUUUCCCUCAGGGCUACAGCAGCUCUGGCUCUCUGUCAAAAUUUAGUCAACAAGACAUUGAUCGCCUCACCAUCCCACAGGACAUCGUGGAAGUUUAGUACCUUGAUGACGUCGUUUUCUUAAGACGUAGUAAAUAAGAAGCAGCCGCCAUAAUCCUAGACUUCUUGAUAUUGUGCAUGAAAGGGUGUGAGAUAAACCGCACAAAAAUUCAGGGCUCCGCCGACUGAGUACAGAGAGGCUUAGAAGGCCUUUCAGGGUUUUGGAGGCAACUCAUACCACAUUUGCAUAAACUACUGGACUUGUUUACCAAUAACACCGAAGGAGUAUCCACUUUGAUUACAUCCCAGAGCAAGUGACGAUUCUCCAGCUGGUCCAAGAUGCAGAGCAAGCAACCUGGUCAUUCGAUCUAGCAGAAUCGUGGUGCUCAAAGCGUGUAUGACUGAGGAGGAUAUUGGACAGACAGCUCCAGUAGCAGAAUCAGAAUACAAGCCUCUAGGGUUUGGAGCAAAGCCAUGCACUCUCCCACAAAUACGUAAUCUCUUUUUGAGAAACAGUUCCUGGCUGGUAGAGACUGAAUGCUUGGCCAUGAGAUACCAAGGGACCACGUGACCUGAGCUGUCCCUUAUCAGUUGUGUAUUAUCUAACCCACAAAGCCAAAAAAUUGGGCACGCCCAGCAACACUCCAAAAUCAAGCGGAAGUGUUAAAUAGGAGACCGUGCUCAAGCAGGUGGUAACGGCCGUGGUGAGCCACAUGGGCAGGCCAUGCUCGCUCCCAAUGCACUGACCCCAGAAGUACCGCCACCUCGUCUUCAGCUCAUCCUAAUAGCUUUGCUGGGGAGUUGCAGAUGAAAAGUGACUUGAGGAAGCAGAAAGAUCUGCAGAAGUAUGCACCAACUGAAAGUGGACCGCGGGAGCAUGUGCCCUACUUAGGAGUGACCCAGAAGGACAGUGAGGAAGGGUAAUUCUUUCAGAGGCAGAACCUCAAGCAGUACAUGUGGUUGUCCCCUUUGCCUGGAAGGAAACACAAGAGCUACAGAUCUGUAGUAAUUUGUGAAUAGUGCUGAAUGGCUUAGCUAGAGAGUCCUAGGCUUGUGAGGAAAAAGAUGGGAGGGUUGGUAACCAGGAUGAACGGGAAAGAGUUGUAAGGAUGGACCUCAUAGAGUGGCCCAGGGUGAGAAUAUUUGUGUCCUGUGUGAAUGCUCAUCAGACAGCACCCACUGCAGAGGAGCCUGCCCAUAACAGUGGGAAGGGUGAUCUGGCCUGUGAGCGUCAGUCAGCAUCUCUCCUCGCAAGGCCCGAGCUUGCUCAGUGUGUUCAUGGAUACGGUGUAGUGGCCAUAGCAGCAAAGAUGGCUGUUGGGUCCGGUUCAACAACAGAAAGAUUUUUCUCCUCGUCAUGUUGGAUCUGGAUGGCAUUGCUGCUGGGUGCUCACCCUUCAACAACAGAAACCCAAGCUUAGCCCCUAUGACACCAUACCCUGGGGAGAUCAGAUAGCCACCUGGAGGCAGAUUAAUUGGACCACUUCCAUAAUGGAGGGGGCAGCAAUUUGUCCUCACUGGGACAGAAAUUUGUCCCCGCUUGCAGGAAGGUGUCAUCCCCUCAGCUCCCCUAAGAGGAAUAAUCAGAUAGUGACGUACAGGGGAGAGACUAGAGAUGGGGAGAUCGAGUACAAAGUACCACAGAAACCAGAAGCUCCUCAGUCAGGUUACACCCUCCGUGUGCUCCCACAACCCCUGUAGUGACUGUGCUGCAGGACUUCUCAGGCUCUGUUAUAAUAAAACCCCACAGGAGCAGCCCAGGGUCUGUGCCGCCCCAUCUAAUCUCCAGAACGGAGCCCCGUGCCUGGGACAUCGUACAGCUCAGUAGAUACGUGUCAAAUGUUUGUUGAAUGUCUUCUACAUUUUAGUAUUUAUCAUAAUCCUUUAAAAAUAUUUUGGUCAAGGUAGAUGCUUAACAAACAUUUAUUAAGUGAAAAAAAUUAUGAUCAACUAGAUUAGAAGUCAGCAAACUACAGCCUGUGGGCCACAUCUCACUGGCCACCUGAUCUUGUGUGGCCCAUGAACGAAGAAUGGUUUUUACAUUCUUAAAAAUGUAAGAAAAGAAUAAUAUUUCAUGACACUGAAAAAUGCAAUAAAUCCAAAUUUCAGUGUCUAUAAAUAAAGUUUUAUUGGGACACAGCUCCAUUUACACGUUGCCUGCAGUGUUUUGCUUGACAACAGCAGAGUUGAGUAGUUGUGACAGAGAAUGCGUGGCUUGCAAAGCUAAGAAUAUUUACUCUCUGGCCCCUGCAGAAAAAGUGUGCCGAUCCCUGGAGCAGGUCUUCCAAAGCACAGAAGACAACGAUCUUUAAGACAAGAGCGCUGCCUCCUUCCUUUGCAGACCACCACCUCAUCACUUCAAUUUCCUCUAAAGAAAACAAACUGUUUUUCUCAUAUUUCAUGGCUUUGAGGUUUAUUCCAAGCCUUGCCAGUGGCCUCAGGCUCCUCGUUGCCUUAUUUGAAACAAGAGAUAUAGAGCAGCCGAGACAGAUGACGAUGUGGAGAGGGAAGGAGGCGAGACGGGGCCCACGCUCAGACUCCCUAAAUCCACGAGGGAAACUUCCUUCUGUUGGCACCAGUUCAAAAC